UACGAAGGGGGCUAGCGUUGCUCGGAAUUACUGGGCGUAAAGGGCGCGUAGGCGGGUCGUUUAGUUAGAGGUGAAAGCCCAGGGCUCAACCCUGGAAUUGCCUUUAAUAUUGGCGGCCUUGAGUAUGGCAGAGGUGUGUGGAACUCCGAGUGUAGAGGUGAAAUUCGUAGAUAUCAGGAGGAACACCAAUGGCGAAGGCAGCUCGCUGGGACGUGACUGACGCUGAGACGCGAAAGCGUGGGGAGCAAACAGG
rnacentral:rRNA from 1 species